CAUUGCAAGAAUAAGAGCAGAACAUGAUGCUGACUUCCCAUCAAUAUAAACCCAAUCAUCCCAAAGUGUAGUUGUUGGAUCAUAAGUAGAAAGAAUAGUACUGCUUGUAAACGUACUCAUGUUAAUAGGAAAGGCUAUAGGGAUAUCCUAUAUGCCCGAAUCGAAUUGAUGAUUUGAAAAGGUAAUACAAACGAUUAAACAUGCAAAGGCACAAGAAUGAAGUUGCAGCUUUAAGCGCCCAUUAGAGUAGGUGUUUGUGAAAGGAUUGCUAGAGUCUUCUUGAGAAUUUUGCACCCAAAAUAAGAAGAAGAAAGACAUGUCAUCCAGUUGUUUUACCUUUGCGCAUCCAUCAAUUGGCUCCCCACUUUCUACUCUGAGAGCUCGCACUCGAUCUUUGCUGACACAAUAAUUUCAGAGAUUUGCAUCUUGUCAUUAUUAGAAUGAAGUUCUUUUACUGGAAGGCCAUGCUCAUACUCCAUAAAGGAUUAUCAAGAGGUCGAUUUUCAAUAUUCUCAGGUACCUGGAAACAUUCAUCAGAAUACAUGGCAUCAAAGGACUCAACACCCAAUUUAACUCCGCCUAACAUCUCGAAAUCAUAUAACUCCGCAAAUAAACCACUCCAUCUAUUUCGCAUUGCUUCAAACAGUCUAUGUGCAUAUGACACAGAACAUAAAGGAAUAUAUAGAAAGAGAUUCACACCAUAAAGCAAUGAUAUAUUCCUUCCCUGUGUCGAACCACUUGUCCACAUAACUAGAAUUUGAUAGUCCAAUAUCCAUUGCAUUCGUAGCCCAAUGAACAGAGUGUUGUACCAUCGAAAGUACUUGAAUGGGAAACUCUAAGGAGUCUACCAAUGUGAAAUUGACUCCAGUAAUUAGAACGAUCCUAUUUGUAAUCUAAUACUCACUUGCAACAAAAGAAAUGAGAAAUGAAGUCGUAUCCACAAUUUGACUAGGCAAUCAGCACGUAUCUUUUAGGAAAUUUUCAGCAAGCAUCAUGUCUUCCUCCGAGUCGCCAUAAUCCAAACCAAAUUCUUCAGUGAGUACUUUGGAGCAGCAGUUAUGCAGCAUUUUGUCGAACACCUGGCUUUCCUCUAGGAAUUCCUCUUUCUCAGUCAUCGGUAGCUCUUGUAAUAUUUUUCUGUCUGUAAGAGGUUCAACUCCAAUAGGACUUCUAUUAGCGACAUCGUUCAUGGAAUUGGCAUCAAUAUACUUUUCUGGUAACUCACUAGUUUCAGUUGCUGCUUCAUCAUCUUAGGAGGUGUCUGGCAUUUCCUCGAACACCUCGUAUGCCACGUUCAAGUUGUUGCUAUUCAAGAGCUUAUUCCAACACUGAGGCGAGGGUGAGGUGCUAGUGUUGCACCGUGAUAGAAUGGCCGCAGCUCAUGCGAGGAAAUCCUCCAAUGGCUUGAAGCACCCAGCAAGUGCGUCUCUAUUUUGAUUGCGAAAACGCAACUUCAGUUUCUCCUUAAAAUAACUCCAAUCAAGAAAUUGCCCAUUUCGAAACAACCAAUCAAACCAAGCAAGAGCUUCACCAUCAAGGUAGUGAUAAGGAAGAGGUAACCAGUCCUUUUUGGAGAAGCCAAGGUAGGUGAAGUACAGUUCUGCCCGAAAAAUCCAACCCUCCGGGUUUCCAUCACUGAAUCAAUCUAAUGCAACCAUUGUUGCUGGAGUAUGAACAAAGAAAGCACCAAUGUAACAAACCAAAACUAGACAACUCUCUUUCAAUAGAACUGAUAGAUUAUAUUGAACAUUAAACUGGAAUUACAAAGCAAACAUUAAUUGGAGCGGGAAAGAUUGCAACAGAAUUAAGAAGAAGGGGAUGAGAAAGACUUAUAUAGAAUUGGGGAUGGGAAGAUACUAGAAAUGCCUUUGCAUAUAAUUCAUGAUAGCCUACUGAUAGUAUUACCAUGUACUAUUUAACAAAUACAAAUUUCCCUCAACCCGGAUCCCACAACAACCUUUGUGAAGGCCUGGCCUAAUUGCUUCUUCUCGGCCUUACAUCAAUUUGUGUGACAUCUUUGU
rnacentral:lncRNA from 1 species